UACGUAGGGGGCAAGCGUUGUCCGGAAUUAUUGGGCGUAAAGAGCGUGUAGGCGGCCACUUAAGUCCUGCGUGAAAUCUUGCGGCUCAACCGCAAGCGGUCGUGGGAAACUGGGUGGCUAGAGUGCGGCAGAGGAGACUGGAAUUCCUGGUGUAGCAGUGAAAUGCGUAGAUAUCAGGAGGAAUACCGAUGGUGAAGGCAGGUCUCUGGGCUGACACUGACGCUCAUGCACGAAAGCGUGGGGAGCAAACAGG
rnacentral:rRNA from 1 species